rnacentral:rRNA from 1 species
GACGAACGCUGGCGGCGUGCUUAACACAUGCAAGUCGAACGGAAAGGCCCUGCUUUUGUGGGGUGCUCGAGUGGCGAACGGGGGAGUAACACGUGAGUAACCUGUCCCUGACUUUGGGAUAACUUCAGGAAACUGGGGCUAAUAUCGGGUAGGAGCUCCUGCUGCAUGGUGGGGGAUGGAAAGUUUCGGCGGUUGGGGAUGGACUCGCGGCUUAUCAGCUUGUUGGUGGGGUAGUGGCUUACCAAGGCUUUGACGGGUAGCCGGCCUGAGAGGGUGACCGGCCACAUUGGGACUGCGAUACGGCCCAGACUCCUACGGGAGGCAGCAGUGGGGAAUAUUGCACAAUGGGCGGAAGCCUGAUGCAGCGGCGCCGCGUGCGGGAUGACGGCCUUCGGGUUGUAAACCGCUUUCGCCUGUGACGAAGCGUGAGUGACGGUAAUGGGUAAAGAAGCACCGGCUAACUACGUG